CCCUUAGAUGUUUUGGGCCGCACGCGCGCUACACUGAUGCAUUCAACAAGCCUAGCCUUGACCGAGAGGUCCGGGUAAUCUUUGAAACUGCAUCGUGAUGGGGCUAGAUUAUUGCAAUUAUUAAUCUUCAACGAGGAAUGCCUAGUAAGCGUGAUUCAUCAAAUCGCGUUGAUUACGUCCCUGCCCUUUGUACACACCGCCCGUCGCUCCUACCGAUUGAAUGUGUUGGUGAGGAGCUCGGAUUGGCAGCAGUUGGUGGUUCGCCACCGGCUAUUGCUGAGAAGUCCUCCAAACCGCCCCAUUUAGAGGAAGGAGAAGUCGUAACA
rnacentral:rRNA from 1 species